CCUACGGGAGGCAGCAGUGGGGAAUCUUGCGCAAUGGGCGAAAGCCUGACGCAGCAACGCCGCGUGCGGGAAGAAGGCCCUAGGGUUGUAAACCGCUUUCAGUAGGAACGAAAAUGACGGUACCUGCAGAAGAAGGUGCGGCCAACUACGUGCCAGCAGCCGCGGUGACACGUAGGCACCAAGCGUUGUCCGGAUUUAUUGGGCGUAAAGAGCUCGUAGGCGGUUCAGUAAGUCGGGUGUGAAAACUCUGGGCUUAACCCCGAGAGCCGCCACUCGAUACUGCUGUGACUUGAGUUCGGUAGGGGAGCAGGGAAUUCCUAGUGUAGCGGUGAAAUGCGCAGAUAUUAGGAGGAACACCGGUGGCGAAGGCGCUGCUCUGGGCCGAUACUGACGCUGAGGAGCGAAAGCGUGGGUAGCAAACAGGAUUAGAUACCCUGGUAGUCCACGCCGUAAACGUUGGGCACUAGGUGUGGGUUCCAACCAACGGAAUCCGCGCCGUCGCUAACGCAUUAAGUGCCCCGCCUGGGGAGUACGGGCGGCAACGCUAAAACUCAAAGGAAUUGACCGG
rnacentral:rRNA from 1 species